GAUUGCUCAGUUGGUUAGAGUGUGGUGCUGAUAACACCAAGGUUGCAAGUUCGAUUCCCAGAAGGAUCA